rnacentral:lncRNA from 1 species
CCAGGAACCUCGGUAUGCCACAGGCAUGGACUAAUUAAUUUUUUAAAAAAGCAGGAGGGACAGGGAGUUCCUGUCAUGGCUCAGUGGUUAACGAAUCCAACUGGGAACCAUGAGGUUUCAGGUUCGAUCCCUGGCCUCGCUCAGUGGGACUCUGAUUAGACCCCUAGCCUGAGAACCUCCAUAUGCCACAGGUGCGGGCUGCCCUAGAUAAGACAGUAAAUAAAUAAAAUGCCACCUUUAAAAAAAAAAGGGCAGGAAGGACAGAAACCCAAUCCUCUCCAACUUCCCCGUCAAGCUCUAAAAUUCUCAGAUCCUGACAUUUCUGCUGUGGCACAACGGGCUAACGACCCAACAUUGUUUCUUUGGAGGCCCCAGUUCAGUCCCUGGCCAAGCCCAGUGGGAUAUGAGUCCAGCUGUGGCAUAGGUGGCAGCCAUGGGUCAGAUUCUAUCCCUGGCCUGGGGAGCUUCAUAUACCAUGGGGGUGACCAAAGAAAAAAAAUUAUAAAUAAAUAAAAUUCUCAGAUCCUAAUACGUUUACAGCAUGAUUCAGUUUACAAGGGUUUGAUCUGCAGUGACCUCUCAUUCACCUCCCCAAGCCCCCCCAUCCAGCAUUAGCACAGUAGGUGCUCCCUAAAAGUUUUUGAAACUAAACUGGCGCAUGGAAUUUCCCAUCGUGACUCAGCAGUAAUGAACUUGACUAAUAUCCAUGAGGACAAGGGUUCAGUCUCUGGCUCGAUUAGUGGGUUAAAGAUCCGGUGUUGCUAUGGAGCUCCGAUGUAGAUUGCAGACUAGGCUUGGAUCUGGUGUGGCUAGCUGCAGCUGCCAGCCUACACCACAGCCAUAGACAUGCAGGAUCCGAGCUGUAUCUGCAACCUAUGCUGCAAUUCACAGCAACGCCAGAUCCUUUAACCCACUGAGCAAGGCCAGGAAUCAAAACCGCAUCCUCAUGGAUACUAGUCAGGUUCGUAACACUGAGCCACAAUGGGAACUCCUUUUUUUUAAAGAUCUCACUUUUAAAGGGCCAGCUACAGGAGUUCCCUUGUGGUCCAGGGGGUUAAGAAUCUGGCAUUGUCACUGCAGUGUCUCAGGCUGCUGCUAUAGUCCAGGGUUGUUUUUUUUGUCUUUUUUUUUUUUUUUUUUUGGGGGGUUUUUUUUUUUUUUUUUUUUUUUUUUGCUUUUUAGGGCCAAACCAGCGGCAUAUGGAGAUUCCCAGGCUAGGGGCCAAAUUGGAGCUGUAGCUACCAGCCUAUGCCACAGACACAGCAAUGUCAGAUCCAAGCCAUGUCUGCAGCCCACACCACAGCUCACAGCAAGGCCAGAUCUUUAACCCACUGAGCAAGGCCAGGGAUCGAACCUGCGUGUCAGAUUCGUUUCCUCUGAGCCAUGACGGGAGCUCCUGUGGUCCCCGUUUGAUCCCUGCCCUGGGAACGUCCACAUGCUGCAAGCACAGGCAAAAAAAAAAGGGGGGGUGGUGGCAGUUACAAAAAUUGACUAAAACCUUUACAACCAAAAUGAGAAAGCAUUAGCAGUGCAGCCCCCAGCAGCACAGGACUGAGCCUGGGCGACCUGCAAUUGUGUAUAGUGAAGCAUUUGAGGCCCCAGUCUGGAGGCAGGCAUCCUGGGUUUAAAAUGUUGCCUCAGACCCCAGACUCCACACACACGAGCUCACAUACACAUGAAUGUGGUUGGUGGCCCUGUGACCGUGGGCAGGUCUCUACUGCAGGAGUAACCGCAUCCACACAGCAUGGGCUGUGAGGAUGGCUGAGCGGUGACUGCUCUGAUCAGGGAACAGCCGACCUGGACCAAGUCAAGAGGAACAGAAGGGCAAGGCGCUUCCAUUUCAUCGGCAUAAGAACUCUGGGGUGGACAGCACAAGAAACUUGGGCUCUGAGUUCUCUGCAAAGCGGGGCUCUUUUCCUGUAAAUGGAGUACCCGUUCUCAGGCAUGGAAAAGCACCUCCGCCUAAAAUUCUUUUUUUCUGGCCACAUCCACCGCAUGCAGAGUUCCCAGGCCAGGGAUCAAACCGAGCCACAGCAGCAAGCAAAGCCACGGCAGUGACACCACCAGAUCCUCAACCCGUUGCCCCACCUGGGAACUCCCUAAAACAGUUGUCAGUCACAGUGCCUGAGCUAUCACUUGAGUUACUCCUUAAGGCUAAGUCCUUCCAUCUCCCAGCAGAAUAACUGAAACUGAAGCCAGUGUCAAGCCUUGGGCUGCAUCGUUUAAUAGUACUUAUCACAUUAAUUUUGAAAAUUCAGAGUAGGAUCACCCCCCCCCCAGAGCAUAGAAUGGGAGACAGAAACAUUAAAAUAUUCCAAUAUAAACUGCAGCCUGAUGAUUUGCUGGAAAGCAGCUUGG